GGGGAUGAUCGGCUUCGACGGGAGGCGUGAAAUCACUGAGUGCAUGCCGAGGGGGUGGCUUUCCUCGUUAAUCCAGCUGCAAACUCUAGUUGCCAACGACGACAACUACGCUCUGGCCGCUUAAGGCCUAAGCCUCGACCGCGAAAGUGCCCGUGCUUUCAAAGGUCGAGUCAUGCUUGCGGGAUAAGCGCUGCCUGUGCUCGGGUUGCAGCGACGAAAAUCAACGAGCUGGCUCCAGGUUGAGCGCGCGUCUCGGCGUGCCUGGUGCGAGAUCAAAGAGACGCUAAGCAUGUAGGACUUGGGACGUAGCACUUUCGGACGGGGGUUCAAUUCCCCCCAUCUCCACCA
rnacentral:tmRNA from 1 species